rnacentral:rRNA from 1 species
GAUGAACGCUGGCGGCGUGCCUAAUACAUGCCAGUCGAGCGAACAGACGAGGAGCUUGCUCCUCUGACGUUAGCGGCGGACGGGUGAGUAACACGUGGAUAACCUACCUAUAAGACUGGGAUAACUUCGGGAAACCGGAGCUAAUACCGGAUAAUAUAUUGAACCGCAUGGUUCAAUAGUGAAAGACGGUUUUGCUGUCACUUAUAGAUGGAUCCGCGCCGCAUUAGCUAGUUGGUAAGGUAACGGCUUACCAAGGCGACGAUGCGUAGCCGACCUGAGAGGGUGAUCGGCCACACUGGAACUGAGACACGGUCCAGACUCCUACGGGAGGCAGCAGUAGGGAAUCUUCCGCAAUGGGCGAAAGCCUGACGGAGCAACGCCGCGUGAGUGAUGAAGGUCUUCGGAUCGUAAAACUCUGUUAUUAGGGAAGAACAAAUGUGUAAGAAACUAUGCACGUCUUGACGGUACCUAAUCAGAAAGCCACGGCUAACUACGUG